ACGGAGGAUCCAAGCGUUAUCCGGAUUUAUUGGGUUUAAAGGGUGCGUAGGCGGUCUGUUAAGUUAGAGGUGAAAUCCCGUGGCUCAACCACGGAACUGCCUCUGAUACUGGCAGGCUAGAGAUUGGUUGCUGUGGGCGGAAUGUGUAGUGUAGCGGUGAAAUGCUUAGAGAUUACACAGAACACCGAUUGCGUAGGCAGCUCACAAAGCCAUAUCUGACGCUGAGGCACGAAAGCGUGGGGAUCAAACAG
rnacentral:rRNA from 1 species